ACAUGCAAGUCGAACGAAGCACUUUAUUUGAUUUCCUUCGGGACUGAUUAUUUUGUGACUGAGUGGCGGACGGGUGAGUAACGCGUGGGUAACCUGCCUUGCACAGGGGGAUAACAGUUGGAAACGGCUGCUAAUACCGCAUAAGCGCACCGCAUCGCAUGAUGCAGUGUGAAAAACUCCGGUGGUAUAAGAUGGACCCGCGUUGGAUUAGCUAGUUGGUGAGGUAACGGCCCACCAAGGCGACGAUCCAUAGCCGACCUGAGAGGGUGACCGGCCACAUUGGGACUGAGACACGGCCCAAACUCCUACGGGAGGCAGCAGUGGGGAAUAUUGCACAAUGGGCGAAAGCCUGAUGCAGCGACGCCGCGUGAGCGAAGAAGUAUUUCGGUAUGUA
rnacentral:rRNA from 1 species